AACUUUUAUGUUUAGCCAGUUUUGUUCUUAUCAGUAUCCAGUUGAUCCUAUUCCUUUUCAAUCAACUCAAUGGACCCCACAUGUCAUGUUAUUUAUCACUCAUUGCACUAUCUUCUACAACCAUUCAGGCCCCCCAUGUCCAGAUCACUUUGAAGCGCCGCCACCCAACCAAUUUCACUGCGGACGACCAUUAGAUCCUCCACCAGGUCCAUGUUCUGGGUGGCCUAUGCCUCAUAGGAGAUCCAAGUACCCUCCUGAUUCCAGACACUCAAUGGAACCUCCAGUCUCCAAUGGAGGAGGUUGGAGGACGCAUGGAAGACGUGAUUAUGAUAGAUACCAUUGAUGACUGACUGGUAUUAGAAAUUUUAUGUUGGAACUACUGUGCUUACACGUUAGCCCCAUUACAAAUUUAACUUCUGAGAUGCAUGAUUUACUUGGGAUAAGAUACUCGUGAAGUGUGGAAUAAGAGCAUUCCCCACUAAGUUUCCUACAUACUAUUUCUGUUUUGCAUUAUUUCAGAAUGAUAUUGGACUCCGCGACUAAACUCUGAUCAUGGCUGAUUGGUAGUGCUUGGUUGGGCCUGGUGGUGUUGUGGCAAUGGUUAUGGUUUUCCUUGUCAUUGGUGAAUUGUGAAGCAUUCGUCAAUGUCCAUUCACUGAUGUCCUUAGUGUUAAGUCUCUUGAAAAUAAGAGACGCAACCCACCCACUGUACAUAUGUAGCUGUAGCAGUGUUCUGCAAAUGCAGAAACGGGAGCCAGGCCAGUCGUCUGAAGGGUGUGAGCCAUGUUGUUAACCUUAGCAUUCCACCAUCUUGUCGACAUCGCUGUGUAUUUCUUUCAACACUGUUGCAUCGAACAGUCAUUUUUUUAUGACAAUUUAGUUUGUAGUUUGACAGUGGAGCACACGGCCAAAAUUCAAAUGUUUAUUUUUGGGGUACCUGUAGACUUUAUUGGGCAUCUUUUGAUGACGUAAAUAUGGCUCAAUAUAUUCUUCGGGCGAAUGCAGGCGAGUCGCCGCACACUGCGAGGCAGUUUGGCUCUUCUGAGGUGUGGGUUUGGGAAUGUACUCAAAUUCGAUAUAGAGAGGAAACCAUAGUGGGAUAUUUUGGCGGUAUAAA